ACACUCCUGCCCGAAGGGAACAAUAAAGCUUUCUCCAUUCAACAGCGCCAGAUACGCCAGAAGGCGGCCAUUUUGAGGCCGGCGCAGAACGGGUAUAAACGGGGAGGGGACGGCCCGGCCUGCCCCGCGCGCAACGGUCACGUGCUGGGGGGGCGGGUCCCCAGGGCGGGGCCUACGUCACGCACUCGCUGUCCACCAAUGCUAGGACUUUGGGAGAAUGUUCCCAGGUCGAUGCCUGUGGUGACUUCAGCUAAACUACCAGCUGUUUCCAGAGUGACUACUACAUGCCAAGAACACUGAGGUAAAUAGAAUAUGUUCCUUGCCCUACUAGGAAACAACACAGCCAGGACCAUUUCUGCUGCUAGUAAUAAGUCAUUACUUAUCUCACUCUUACUCUCUGCCAGGGACCAUGCCAAGCGCUACCUAGAUUAUCUCAUUUAUCCCUGUAACCACUGAAUGAGGUGGGUAACACUAUUACCUCCUUCUAUACAGGAGAAAAAAUAGUUUGCUUAAGGUCACACAGUUAUUAAUCAGUGGCACUGGAGUUGAACCUAGAAAGUCUGACUCUGGGGCCUUCACUUUUCUCCCCUAGAAUAAUGAUGGGCGGUUUUUACAGAAUAUAUGCAUUCAUUAUAAAGAAUUCAAAGAUUACAGAAAAAUACAAAGAAAAGAGUUAAAAAGAGAAACACUAUGAAUCCUACAGCUUAGUGGAAACGUAUCAUUAUAGAUGAGCAUUUCUCCAUCUCUGGGCAAAUAUACGUAGGUGAGUAGAUGGAGAGAUAAUAAUGGUAAUAACGACAGUUUCCCUUCAAUAAGCCCUAUGAGCGGGACAGUGUUCCAAGUCCUUUCCACGAAUUAACACAUUUAAUUUACUCAGAGAGAUGGAUAGACAUAAUUUUAUUAAAAUGAGCUCAUUUAACAUAUUCAGGGUUCAUAUCAGCAGCCAAACACUUGGUGAUGUUUUUCCCCAAAUCUGGUUCUGUCCUCAGUCUUUGUCUUCUUUCCACCUUCC
rnacentral:lncRNA from 1 species